rnacentral:lncRNA from 1 species
CUGAGGGAAAUGUUUGAGGAUAAGAGCCUAAAGGAAGUAUGUAGUAGUUAAAACAUUAAAAAGGUUUUGCCUUAUUCAUGAAAUCCCUCAUAAAUCAGUAAAACCAAUCCAUAAUAUUACUAAAACAAUCUGAUGUUGAAUAAAUCAAUGAUGAGGAUAUAAUAUGGUUAAUUUUAGACAAUUCAUGGCAUCAUCUAGCAACUUUCAACCAGUUCACGGAUUCAAAAGGGGAUUUCUUUCAGAUUAGGCUGAUAAUCAAUUUUGCGUUGAAAUUUUCGUUGCUAUAUUUAUGUGAAAUAUAUUCAAAAUAGUACUCACAUAGUUUUUUAAUGUUUGAAACUGGUUAUCUAAAUUACUAAUUUACAAUACAAUACAAAGUCAAUAGCUGAUGAUUUUCGUAUGUGCCUGUUAAAUUAUAUACAUGGUAAUGUCAAAACAAAACUGAAAUCCAUAUAUAUGUAGCAAAUUCUGGUAACCUAGCAACCAAUCAAACCAUAAAUAUACAAUUUAUACUUCUUUAUGAAUCACAACUGAAAAAUCAAAUAUAUACAGAAACCAUACAAAUAAAGGUACCCACUGGUCAGAUGCAACCAUACAAAUUAAGAUACCCACUAAAGAUUGGUCAGUGCAAAUACAACCCACUGCAACCCAUGCAAAUUAAGAUACCCACUUCAUAAAACCAUACAAUUAAGAUACCCACGUCAGAAAAACCUGCAAAUAAAG